UCCUGGUGAAGGAGCAGCAACAGCACUGCUGUGAAGAGCUGCUUGUGAGAAAACCACCCUGAAGAUGGUGUUACAUCUCCUGAGUCAUCCUUUUCUGUGUUCUGGAAGUCUGGUCACAAGCCUGGAGCAGCUUUCACCACCUUAUCAGACAAAGUAGAGCAAUGGGAAGGUGUCAAAGCCAUUUCCAAGUGCUCACUGUCAUGGAAAGGAUUUGUAAGCCAUGGUGAAGAGCUUCAACCCAUCGGAUUCCGAGUCACGGAUGAUAACUUCACUGCAAGGAAACCACAAAGCAGGAAAAGAAUUGAUUUACAGAGAGAAGGAAACAGACCAGGAGGCAGAGUGGAAAGGACAAGAAGAGGACUAUCCCAUGUGUGUCAAAUUGCAUUCAUCAUAGGUCAUGAUUGAACACCAGCUACCCUCUCUCUGGUCCAAACAGGCUGAUAACCUCCCAUUUACAUAGGAUGCAUUACUCAUUUAAUUCAUUUACUGUGUGAAUAAAUUGAAGACUGAAUCCACUGAGUACAUCUUGGCAGAGCAAUAACAUAAGUGUCAAGGAUAUAGCCUUACUCUGUGAGUGGUAAGUUUUGCAUUGUUUUCAAGUUAAACUUAAAGAAACAUGGUACUGAAACAAUGUCAAUCUCAGAGCUUUGAAAGAGUUAAAUCUACACUCAGUUUUUAAAAAUAUUUUACUCAAAUUAAGAAUUUUAUAUUUCAAGUUAUAUAUAUAUAUAUAUCAAGGAACAAAAUUGUGAAAGAAAGCUUUUAAUGAUAUUCAUUAAAAAACAAAAUAACUGUCAAUUCCUUCAAAAUUGAGAUAAUAAUGCUUUUAGUCAGGGAAAAAAAAAACCAUGAAUAAACCAGAAAGUUCUUUACAAAGAAUAAUGUAAAUCGGUUAAUUCUGAUAUGACCUCAGUGGCUUACCAGAAGCACCUGAAAAUCUUUAUUGAUAGUGAGCAGUUUUUGCUGGAGACUUGGCUUUAUUGCAGUGCUGAUCUCUUCUCAGCUGUCAGUGAGAUUUCAGAGUGCAGCCUUGGAACUUCUGGUGCAGUUGGAAAAAGCUGUGCGUUUCUCAUUGCCUAGCUGAAGAAUUUUGGAGGAAAGAAACAAACUUUUUUAGUGUUCUUACGGUAUCUGAGAGUAUCGCAAUCAGAUCUUGCCACUAACACAAUCCUGGAGAACCACAGUCAGUCAAAGAACUGGGAAGAGAUUAAAGACAUUUUAUAAGUUAUCAUUUGCCUAAAGAUUGAAAAUGCAAUUAUCUUAAAAAUAUUCUGGUGUAGAUUGCAGGAAUAGGAUUCUUCAAAAAUAUUAGCUAUUAAAAAUGAAACAAUUUAGAAACAUAGAAGAUGUGAUGGCCAAUACAAAGUAUCAAAAAAUUUUCCAAUUUUAUCAGACAUUAUCCAUUUAGAUCUCUUGAUUUUCAGUUUUCUUGCAUCUUGGUACUAGUUGAUAAUCCAACACUUCUGUGAAUUUCCAGUAUAUCAUAAAUGUAUCCUUUAGAGAAGAAAACCGUUAAUGGUUUGCUUGGGGUUGGGGUUGUAUAGUUUUGGGGAAUUUUUGUUCUUAAAAUUGUUUCUUAUUUUAAAAGGAAAUGUAUUUUGUCUGCAAACAGUCCUCCCUCAAGUCAUGGAAAUAGCAAAAUACUUUCAAUAGCUGCUUGUUACCAGUUAUGAAAAAGAAAUAACCCUGUUUUCUAUUCAUGUAGUAGUCAGAAAGGAAACUGCAUUAAAAGGAUGAGUUGUCAAAUGUUUGAAAAUUGACAGUGAAUCACCAUAUGAAGCUGUUAAUGAUAUUUUUGACUUUAGCUAUGACAUUUUUUUUACAGCAAGGAGGAAGGAAAAGGAAUAUUUUCACCCACCUAAAUGUCCAGUUCACAUAAUAAAACAGAACAAAGAACAGUACAUAUAAUUGACUUGAUUCUCAUGACUGCUUAGCUAACAAUCUCUAACACUUUUCAUCAGUCUAAAAGUUAUUUCAUUAUAUCCUAAAAAUAUCUUUUAAUAUAGCUUUAUAUGUAUAACUAAACCAUAUAAUAUAAUGAAGCCAUCCUGGCUGUAUAUGAGUUACACUUGAUGAUAUGCUUGAGCAUAAAAUGUAUUAAUAGAAGGCUACUUUCUAAAAGCUGGAUAUGGCAAAUUCUUUCCUAUUAUAUUAAUGUUUAAGAUAGUAAU